CCAAUGGCGUUAGAGAUAACAAUUAAAACAGCAAGCCCCGCCCCACGACUGACAAAAAUAGAAGUGUUCGCGCGAGCAGGUGAGAGAAGAUCGAGCGCGAGGAUGUGGGGGAUGAUCACGCGCGCGCGAGGGCUUGUAUUGCGCGCAGAGGACGAGUGACGCGCGCGCGAGUGUUUAAAAUUAGCUCGCGGGCUCCCGUUUCCUCGCUUGUAGAUCUGUUUUCCUCUCGCGGAAGUGAUUUACCGCGCGCGCCAGCAUAAGUGGUGCGCUCGGUUAUUAAUGGCACAGAUUUGACGCCAUAGGGAGAAAGCGAGAAAGCGGUGAAAUGAGACGAGAGAUCACCUGUCCUGCAUAUGGAUGUUUGGUCCUCCAUACCCAUGUGCGUGGCGCCAUGUGCAUUGACAGGUAUUUCCCUUUCUGGCUGGCUGUCCAACAGUGAGGUAGAAAUCACAUUUGGAAUCUCAUGCCCAGGACCUGCAGGGGAAGGAGGUUUCAUUCGGUUCUGAACAGCUUCCAUGCACUUCUCUGUGGAUUUGAAUGGAGGCCAGUAACAGUGUCUCUUGUCUAGGCUCAACCAGUUUGAUGCCACCACCAUCACCUCAUCUGAGUCUUGUAAGACAAGUGGUUCCCAAUGUGGAGCCCUUCCAACAUUGCACAUUUUGCAUGUCAUCUUAAUAAAGCACACCCAACUCAGG